rnacentral:rRNA from 1 species
GUGAANCCGCGAAUGGCUCAUUANAUCAGUUAUGGUUCAUUAGAUUGUACCCACAUUUACUUGGAUAACUGUGGUAAUUCUAGAGCUAAUACAUGCAACACAGAGUCCCGACCAGUGAUGGGAGGGACGCUUUUAUUAGAUCAAAACCAAUCGGUGGCGGGUAGGCUCGCCCAUCCGUCCAUCGUUUAUUUUGGUGACUCUGAAUAACUUUGUGCUGAUCGCACGGUCCUAGCACCGGCGACGCAUCUUUCAAAUGUCUGCCUUAUCAACUGUCGAUGGUAGGUUCUGCGCCUACCAUGGUUGUAACGGGUAACGGGGAAUCAGGGUUCGAUUCCGGAGAGGGAGCCUGAGAAA